rnacentral:tRNA from 1 species
AGGCGGGAUAAAUUCGGUAGACCGGUACUCUUAAUCCGUUGGUUCAAGGUUCAAGUCCUUGGUGGCCUACCA